GAUGAACGCUAGCGACAGGCUUAACACAUGCAAGUCGAGGGGUAGCAGGGGGUAGCAAUACUUUGCUGACGACCGGCGCACGGGUGAGUAACACGUAUGCAACUUACCUAUCAGAGGGGGAUAACCCGGCGAAAGUCGGACUAAUACCGCAUAAAACAGGGGUCCCGCAUGGGAAUAUUUGUUAAAGAUUUAUUGCUGAUAGAUAGGCAUGCGUUCGAUUAGGCAGUUGGCGGGGUAACGGCCCACCAAACCGACGAUGGAUCGGGGUUCUGAGAGGAAGGUCCCCCACAUUGGAACUGAGACACGGACCAAACUCGUACGGGAGGCAGCAGUGAGGAAGAUUGGUCAAUGGGCGCGAGCCCGAACCAGCCAAGUCGCGUGAAGGAUGAAGGUUCUAUGGAUUGUAAACUUCUUUUAUUGGGGAAUAAAGUGCAGGACGUGUCCUGUUUUGUAUGUACCCAACGGAUAAGCAUCGGCUAACUCCGUGCCAGCCGCCGCCGUAA
rnacentral:rRNA from 1 species